rnacentral:rRNA from 1 species
GAUGAACGCUGGCGGCAGGCCUAAUACAUGCAAGUCGGACGGGAUCCAUUGAUAGCUUGCUAUCAAUGGUGAGAGUGGCGCACGGGUGCGUAACGCGUGAGCAACCUGCCUCCAUCAGGGGGAUAGCCUCUCGAAAGAGAGAUUAACACCGCAUAAUAUCAACAGUUCGCAUGUUCAGUUGAUUAAAUAUUUAUAGGAUGGAGAUGGGCUCGCGUGACAUUAGCUAGUUGGUAGGGUAACGGCUUACCAAGGCGACGAUGUCUAGGGGCUCUGAGAGGAGAAUCCCCCACACUGGUACUGAGACACGGACCAGACUCCUACGGGAGGCAGCAGUAAGGAAUAUUGGUCAAUGGGCGGAAGCCUGAACCAGCCAUGCCGCGUGCAGGAUGACUGCCCUAUGGGUUGUAAACUGCUUUUGUCCAGGAAUAAACCUAAAUACGAGUAUUUAGCUGAAUGUACUGGAAGAAUAAGGAUCGGCUAACUCCGUG